rnacentral:rRNA from 1 species
AGUCGAGCGAACGGACGAGAAGCUUGCUUCUCUGAUGUUAGCGGCGGACGGGUGAGUAACACGUGGAUAACCUACCUAUAAGACUGGGAUAACUUCGGGAAACCGGAGCUAAUACCGGAUAAUAUUUUGAACCGCAUGGUUCAAAAGUGAAAGACGGUCUUGCUGUCACUUAUAGAUGGAUCCGCGCUGCAUUAGCUAGUUGGUAAGGUAACGGCUUACCAAGGCAACGAUGCAUAGCCGACCUGAGAGGGUGAUCGGCCACACUGGAACUGAGACACGGUCCAGACUCCUACGGGAGGCAGCAGUAGGGAAUCUUCCGCAAUGGGCGAAAGCCUGACGGAGCAACGCCGCGUGAGUGAUGAAGGUCUUCGGAUCGUAAAACUCUGUUAUUAGGGAAGAACAUAUGUGUAAGUAACUGUGCACAUCUUGACGGUACCUAAUCAGAAAGCCACGGCUAACUACGUGCCAGCAGCCGCGGUAAUACGUAGGUGG